rnacentral:rRNA from 1 species
GAUGAACGCUGGCGGCGUGCCUAACACAUGCAAGUCGAGCGAACAGAGGUGGAGCUUGCCUCCCAGACGUUAUCGGCGGACAGGGGAGUAACACGUGGAUUACACACCUACAAGAGAGGGGUACAUCCGGGGAACCGGAGCUCAUAUCGGGCAAAAUAUUGAACCGCAGGAUCCAGUAGUGAUGAAAGGUGGCGCCGACACUUAAAGAUGGAUCCGAGCCGCAUUAGCCGUUUGGUAAGGUAGCGGCUUACCAAGGGAACGACGAUUAGCCGACCUGAGAGGGGGACCGCCCACACUGGAACUGGGACACGCUCCAGACCCCUACGGGAGCCACCAGUAGGGAUUCUUCCGCAUUGGGCGAAGUCCUGCCGGGGCAACCCCGCUUGAGUGAUGCAGGUUUCCGGUUCUUAAACCUCUGUUAUUAGGGAAGAACAAAUGUGUAAGUAACUUUGCACGUCUUGACGGUACCGGAUCAGAAAGCCACGGCUAACUACGUG